AAGAAGCGAAAUAAAAAGGGAGAAGCAAAAGUAGAGAACUAGAAUAUUUGAACGCAAAAAGCAUUGUGUUGAAAGACACAAUAUACUUGAUUGAGUGAAAGAAAGAUGAAAUUCGAAAUGGAAAUUCGAAAUGGAAAUUGAGAAACGAUUUCUGAAAUGGGGAGAGAGAAGAUUUCUGAAUGAGAGAGAAAGAAAUCGAUGAGAGAAAUCACACACAACACAGAACUCAAAUCAAGUAAGAAGACCCGCUGAACUUAA
rnacentral:misc_RNA from 1 species